rnacentral:rRNA from 1 species
AGCGAACGCUGGCGGCAGGCUUAACACAUGCAAGUCGAGCGGGCACCUUCGGGUGUCAGCGGCAGACGGGUGAGUAACACGUGGGAACGUACCCUUCGGUUCGGAACAACUCUGGGAAACUGGAGCUAAUACCGGAUACGGUCGAGAGACGAAAGGUUUACCGCCGAAGGAUCGGCCCGCGUCUGAUUAGCUAGUUGGUGGGGUAACGGCCUACCAAGGCGACGAUCAGUAGCUGGUCUGAGAGGAUGAUCAGCCACACUGGGACUGAGACACGGCCCAGACUCCUACGGGAGGCAGCAGUGGGGAAUAUUGGACAAUGGGCGCAAGCCUGAUCCAGCCAUGCCGCGUGAGUGAUGAAGGCCUUAGGGUUGUAAAGCUCUUUUCUUCGGGACGAUAAUGACGGUACCGGAGGAAUAAGCCCCGGCUAACUUCGUGCCAGCCGCCGCAGUAAAAC